rnacentral:rRNA from 1 species
GACGAACGCUGGCGGCGUGCUUAACACAUGCAAGUCGAGCGAGUGGCGGACGGGUGAGUAAUGUCUGGGAAACUGCCCGAUGGCGGGGGAUAACUACUGGAAACAGUAGCUAAUACCGCAUACCAUCGGAUGUGCCCAGAUGGGCUUAGCUAGUAGGUGGGGUAACUGCUCUCCUAGGCGACGAUCCCUAGCUGGUCUGAGAGGAUGACAAGGCACACGGGAACGGAGCGACGGGCCAGACGCUGACGGGAGGCAGCAGUGGGAAAUGUUGCACAAUGGGGGAAAGCAGGAUGCAGGCAUGUCGAGUGUAUGAAGAAGGUCUACGGGUUGUAAACCGCUUUCAGCCAUGACGCGGUAGUGGCAGAAGAAGCACCGGCUAACUACGUGCCAGCAGCCGCGGUAAUAC